AAUUUCAAAAUGUUCGUAAUGAUCGUCGGGUAGUAUUGAACUUGAAUGCUCGUAACUGUGGAAAUUCUGAUAGAAUAUACGAGACAGCAAGUAUCGUUAAGAAAUGCUAACCUUGAUGCUCGGCUUGUUGGACAUGUUCAUUUGAACAAGACCUUGUAGAAAAGAUACGCAUGGCAUAAUUAACAAUGGUAACCUUGGAAAUGAUGCUUAGUCUUCGUGAUAAGUACAGAUAAGUAGGUUUGAGAAGGGUGAUUUUGGUUGUAAUAAUAAGUCUUUGAAUGAAUAUAGUAUGCGUAUGAUAAUAUAUCGACCCCUCCUAAGAGCUUUAAGGUAAUCAGAAGUAAUGAUAGUAAUGUAAUGUUUAGGAUGGCUCAUAGUGAACAAAAUGAAAGAUUGUACAUGAUGUAUGAGUAUAAUGAAAUAAAUCGACUUAUUUCGAUGAAUGAAUAUAAUAUGCUUAAAUAGGAAGCUAGAAACAAGCCGCAAACCUAAGUCUAUACGAGUAAUAAUUGUAUACAUUUGGAAUAUGUUCAAUGAAUGAAAUGCUAGGGAUAAUAUGUGCUAGAAACUAGCAAUAUAAAGUGAAAGACACUAAUAAGAGCUCUGGAUCAGACCCUGACCCUUGUGUGAUUAUGAAAGUAAAUUACUAAUUUAAGAAGAUAAGAACAAUGUGUACGAUUAUAUUUAUUUAUGGUCAAGAUUUUUAUGCAAAGACCCCGAAUGAGUUAUGUUGUAGUGUGCCCAUUGAAUGAGUACAAUAGAAAGGUAAAUGUAGGAACGAGAGAGGUUUCGGGGACGAAACCUUCUUUAAGGGGGUAGACUUGUAACACCCCAAAAUUCGAAUUAUUAAAUUCAUUAGCAUGUUAUAAUGAUUAAUAAAAUGUGAGAAAUAUGUUAUUUAACUUGGUUACCGAUACAAGUUAGAUAGUAGUAAUAAAGAUUGGUGCAUAAACAAUUACCACACUAAACUUAAGGGGCUAAAGGUGACAUGUUAUGAAAGUUGAAUUAAUAAAAAUGAAAUCAAAAAAAAAUAAAACACACACAUCAGAUGUGUGUGUGUGUUCGACGCCAGAGCCAAGAGAAGAAGGGGAAACCCUUUCUAAUCACACAAAUUCAUCCAAUUGAAGCCCUAAUCAUGGCCAUUGCUCAUGUAUGUUGGUGAUUUCUUGAUCAUCUAGACUUACUAAAGCUUAAGGAACGUGUCAAGGAGAGCUCAAGCAUAGGAGGAUAACGGGUCAAGAUAAGGCAAGGUGACAAAUACACUUAUUGGAGUACUCAAGGUAAUGCAGGAAUGAGAACGACAGAUUCUCGUGGAAUGGAAGCUGAACUCGGAACGAGAGAAUCCGAGAGGAUAGUCGGAUAAAUCAAAGUUUACGUUGUCGAAUGUACUACUCGGACUUCUUCUACCUUUAAGGAUGAUAAGCGGGCGUGGAUCGAGUCGAAGAGCAAGGAUUGUACGGAAAGAACGGCCACAUAGUUUGAAAUACGUAAUGCUUUGAAACGUUACUUUAAUGUAAAUAUUGUAAACCUCUUCCAGUAAGCGCUUAACAUUUUCGUAUUUGAGCUUUUAUGUAAGUAAUGUGUCUAAUAAAGAAAGAAAUUUCAAGGCUCGUA